AAUCAACGCUGGCGGCGUGCCUAACACAUGCAAGUCGCACGAGAAAGGGACUUCGGUCCUGAGUACAGUGGCGCACGGGUGAGUAACACGUGAAUCAUCUACCUUCGAGUGGGGAAUAACUGAGAGAAAUCUUAGCUAAUACCGCAUAAUACCUACGGGUCAAAGCAGCAAUGCGCUUGAAGAGGAGUUCGCGGCAGAUUAGUUAGUUGGCAGGGUAAUGGCCUACCAAGACGAUGAUCUGUAUCCGGCCUGAGAGGGCGCACGGACACACUGGAACUGAAACACGGUCCAGACUCCUACGGGAGGCAGCAGUGGGGAAUUUUGCGCAAGUGGGGGAAACCCUGACGCAGCAACGCCGCGUGGAGGAUGAAAUCCCUUGGGAUGUAAACUCCUUUCGAUCGGGAAGAUAAUGACGGUACCGAGAGAAGAACGCCCCGGCUAACUUCGUGCCA
rnacentral:rRNA from 1 species